rnacentral:rRNA from 1 species
UACAGAGGGUGCGAGCGUUGUCCGGAAUCACUGGGCGUAAAGGGCGCGUAGGUGGCGCUGCAAGUCGGUGGUGAAAGCUCGACGCUUAACGUCGAGUCGGCCAUCGAAACUGCAGGGCUCGAGCACUGUAGGGGCAGAUGGAAUUCCCGGUGUAGUGGUGAAAUGCGUAGAUAUCGGGAGGAACACCAGUGGCGAAGGCGGCUUCCUGGCCUGUUCUUGACGCUGAGGCGCGGAAAAGCUAGGGGAGCAAACGGGG